CCUUUCUUCCCACCAGCCUCACACUCCUGGUCCUGACGGCCACCUCCUACCGUGCUAGGGUCCCACACCCUGGGCUUCCUCCACACCAGUCAGUGGUUGGUGUUGGUGGGGAAUCUUAGAGCCACCCUCUCAGACUCCCACUGAGGGGGACUGGUCUCCCUGUCCCUGGGGCUAGCCUGGAGCUGGGCAGGAGAGAAUCAGCUAAGAGACUGACACCCUUUCAGGUCUGAUAAGAAACAUUUACAUUCCGUCCUCCCUGUAGCCUGCUAUCUGGAGGCUUUACCUGAAUGAGAAGAAUCUUGGUUGCUUAGUCACCGAGGCUGGAGUGCAAUGGUGUGAUCUUGGCUCACUGCAACCUCCACCUCCUGGGUUCAAGUGGUUCUCCUACCGCAGGCUCCCAAGUAGCUGGGAUUACAGGCACCUGCCACCAUGCCUGGCUAAUUUUUGUACUUUUAGUAGAGAUGGGGUUUCACCAUGUUGGCCAGGCUGGUUUCGAACUCCUAACCUCAGGUGAUCUGCACGCCUUGGCCUCUCAAAGUGCUGGGAUUACAGGCGUGAGCCAUGGCGACCAGCCAUACAAGUGAAUUUUUA
rnacentral:lncRNA from 1 species